AUUGAACGCUGGCGGCAUGCCUUACACAUGCAAGUCGAACGGCAGCACGGGAGCAAUCCUGGUGGCGAGUGGCGAACGGGUGAGUAAAGUAUCGGAACGUGCCCAGUCGUGGGGGAUAACGUAGCGAAAGUUACGCUAAUACCGCAUACGAUCUAUGGAUGAAAGCGGGGGAUCGCAAGACCUCGCGCGAUUGGAGCGGCCGAUAUCAGAUUAGGUAGUUGGUGGGGUAAAGGCCCACCAAGCCGACGAUCUGUAGCUGGUCUGAGAGGACGACCAGCCACACUGGGACUGAGACACGGCCCAGACUCCUACGGGAGGCAGCAGUGGGGAAUUUUGGACAAUGGGCGAAAGCCUGAUUCAGCCAUGCCGCGUGCAGGAUGAAGGCCUUCGGGUUGUAAACUGCUUUUGUACGGAACGAAAAGGACUGCCCUAAUACGGUGGUCCCAUGACGGUACCGUAAGAAUAAGUACCGGCUAACUACGUGCCAGCAGCCGCGGUAA
rnacentral:rRNA from 1 species